AACGAACGCUGGCGGCAUGCCUAACACAUGCAAGUCGAACGAGACCUUCGGGUCUAGUUGCGCACGGGUGCGUAACGCGUGGGAACCUGCCCUUAGGUUCGGAAUAACUCCCCGAAAGGGGUGCUAAUACCGGAUAAUGUCUUCGGACCAAAGAUUUAUCGCCUUUGGAUGGGCCCGCGUUGUAUUAGCUAGUUGGUAGGGUAAAAGCCUACCAAGGCGACGAUUCAUAGCUGGUCUGAGAGGAUGAUCAGCCACACUGGGACUGAGACACGGCCCAGACUCCUACGGGAGGCAGCAGUGGGGAAUAUUGGACAAUGGGCGAAAGCCUGAUCCAGCAAUGCCGCGUGAGUGAUGAAGGCCUUAGGGUUGUAAAGCUCUUUUACCCGGGAUGAUAAUGACAGUACCGGGAGAAUAAGCACCGGCUAACUCCGUG
rnacentral:rRNA from 1 species